CAGUAGCCGCGGUAAUACGGAGGGAGCUAGCGUUGUUCGGAAUUACUGGGCGUAAAGCGCACGUAGGCGGUUAUUCAAGUCAGAGGUGAAAGCCCGGGGCUCAACCCCGGAACUGCCUUUGAAACUAGAUGACUGGAAUCUUGGAGAGGUCAGUGGAAUUCCGAGUGUAGAGGUGAAAUUCGUAGAUAUUCGGAAGAACACCAGUGGCGAAGGCGACUGACUGGACAAGUAUUGACGCUGAGGUGCGAAAGCGUGGGGAGCAAACAGGAUUAGAUACCCCCGUAGUCCCUGUCUCUUAUAC
rnacentral:rRNA from 1 species